UGGGUCGGCCGGACGGUCGCGUCGCGGCAGUGCCGCGCCGAGGAACGUCCGGGCUCCACAGGGCAGGGCGGUGGGUAACACCCACCCGGAGCAAUCCGCGAGACAGUGCCACAGAAAGCAGACCGCCGGGCUCGUCCCGGUAAGGGUGAAAGGGUGGUGUAAGAGACCACCGGAGUCGUGGUGACACGGCUCGCACGGUAAACCUCGUCCGGAGCAAGGCCAGACAGGGGAUGACGACGCGGCUCGCCGAGUCCCCGGGUAGGCCGCUAGAGCGGCGCGGCAACGCGUCGCCGAGAGAGAUGACCGUCGACGGAGCACCAGCUCCCGAACAGAACCCGGCGUACAGGCCGGCCCAUUCG
rfam:Microbacterium sp. 67-17 scnpilot_p_inoc_scaffold_242, whole genome shotgun sequence.